rnacentral:misc_RNA from 1 species
UCAAACUUGGUCAUUUAGAGGAAGUAAAAGUCGUAACAAGGUCUCCGUUGGUGAACCAGCGGAGGGAUCAUUACCAGAGUGCCAUAGGCUCUCCAACCCACUGUGAACAUACCUAUCGUUCCCUCGGCGGGCUUAGCGCGCGGUUGCCUCCGGGCUCCGGGCGUCCGCCGGGGACAACCAAACUCUGAUUUUAUUGUGAAUCUCUGAGGGGCGAAAGCCCGAAAACAAAAUGAAUCAAAACUUUCAACAACGGAUCUCUUGGCUCUGGCAUCGAUGAAGAACGCAGC